UGAGAAUAUAGCUCAGUUGGUAGAGUGCUUUCUUUAUAUGCACAAGGCCCUGGGUUUGAUCCCCAGCACUUAA
rnacentral:tRNA from 1 species